AGAGUGCGCAGAAAGGCUGGGCGAGCGGGGGGCGGGGGGCGGGUUUUAUUACUGCGGAUGGCGCAGUCGCCUCCCCCGGAGACCCGCGACAAAGAUGCAAGCCCGCCGCGCCCGCCGCUGCUCCGGUCCCGCCCCGGCGCGUGAGACCCUGGAAAGCUGGAAACAGGGGAUGAAGAAACCACACUGGAAUUUGCAAGCCCAAGAAUUUUCAGAGGUUUAUAAAAGAAGGUGGUAGAUUCUAAUGACUUUUAGCAAAUGCAUAUUCCCAGUGGUCAUUAGACCUGAGCUGAGACCUUGGCGUUUGUCAUCUCAUUUUGACGACAGCUGUGCUCUGCGAGGUUUUGUUUCCGACAUGAUCUGGAUGGAGCUCUCAGAGGCAGAUGUAUGACGAGGAAAUGAGCUCACUGAAUGGCAGGCAGAGCCGCAAAACACUUUCACAACAAAAACGUUGCUGCAAAGAGGACCUGACCGCAGAGCCAGGAUCCGCUGUGAUAAUCCAUGUGCAAAUAAAAACUCAGGAGGCGCUCAGUGCGAACCAAUUUAAA